UUGAUUAUGGACUCGAUCCGUAUUACAGAGGGCUAUUAUUACAGCUCAAAUUCUUACUGCCGUCUUUUCUACCCCAAGCUCCAAGUUCCUAGGUCCGAACUAACUUGCAGCAUACUCCGUCGUUCAAUCUCAACAGGCACCCGCCACCUCCAGCUGGGCUGGAAUAUCAAUUAUCUCACAUGGAAAAAUGAAAAACAGAAUAAAGAAUUAAAAGGAAGAAGAGGAUAAUGAUGAUGGCAACAUUGAAGGGAGGCAAGAAAGGAUUUCUACAUGCACUGUCAAUUUGAUUAAAAUGCUUCCUGGAUAAUCUCCUACCUGAUUUCAUCGCAUGAUCCAACUCACAGCCCAUAAUCAAACCAAGAAAUUGGCUACAAAAGAAUCUUUGGAAUGCCAGCUUAUGCACGGAAUGCCAACACAUGAUAAGUUACAAUUAGAAUGCUGUUUCUUCUUCAAGAUCCUUAUUCAUCAGAGUUCCUACUUCUGACUGCCAAGGUAAAGUCAGCAUCUUGUACGAUUUCCUUGAUAUCUAGCUCCCUAGACUAGCAUAUUUAAGUCCUGGAACUCAAUUCUACCAUUCUGGUAGUUCCUCGCAUACCUUUUUUGACAGAUUAAUUAUUACUAAAUUGGUUUAAUCUAUUUUACAGCAUUAUAGAAUAUUUUUUGGGGAUAGGGUUGUGAAACAUCACCUUCUGUUUCAUUGAUAGAACUACCGAGGACAACUAAUUGUUAGGUAUCUUACCUCCAGUACUACUCAUGCAUUACAAGUGCAACUGCUCUUGCUCAUCGAGUAUGUUCAAGUUUUGAUCUCCUAAGGUACUGCCUGCUUGAGAUUAACUGCUAUUAUAUUCUUCUAAAGAACUAACGAGGUUUCUGUAUCAUAAUGUUGGAGAAUGAUACUUUCAUGUCUGAUUAACAACAAAGAACAAACUAAUGGAACUCAACUGUCUACAUUUCUCUGUGCCUGUGCUAAUGCAGACACAUGAGAUUGCUUCAGAUUCAUGCCUGUUAGCACUGAAACCUCUUUCCCUGCAAUUCUUUUCUGAGGAAUGAUGGGUCUUGUCUGAAAGGGACAAGUGAGCUGUCAUUCUCUUAACACAAAGUAACAGGGGAGCUCCUGUUACCCCUCUUCUUCUUCUUUUUUUCCCUUGGUAAGAGGAGCAUAUGUUAAAUUCAAACUAAGUUAUAGGUCCAGAAUGGGAGAAGCAAGUUCCCCUGAUGUCUUCUAGUACUAAUCUAACUAAACAAAAGUCCUAUCUUGCUGAGCACCCAGCUUUGCUAAAUGAUCUGCACAAUGAUUUGCUUCUCUGUAAAGAUGCCUAAGAGUGACUCUCGGCAGUUCAGAGAUCAAGAAUCUGCAGUCAGAAAUAAUGGAAACCUAUUCAUGAGAGGAGAUAUCAUAUCUGCAGAUUCUAUUAGUUGUAAAGCAGUAGUAGCAUCAAGUUCUAGUUCAACAUUUUGCAAAUUAAGAGAUGAAGCUAGGGAUAAGCCAUCCCUUAUUCCCCAGAGUUCAGCUAGAACAUUUGUAGCGUGCCCUAGAUUUCUGCUAAAGCCAGCUAUGCAGUGGCCUAAGUGGUCCCUACUCAGACCUCCAGCUCCGGCUGGACCUGGAUUGCGAGCCGAGGAGCCAUCAGUAUGGUGCCUCUGUUUGAUUAGGUGUUUUAAGUAGCCAGACAAGUAGUAAAGCUUUCGUGAUGGUGACAGAGAUGGAAAAAUACUCUAUGCGUGGUGAAUCGAAUUGCUUGUGUAUCAAUGCCAUUUUACAUCGUGGAGGUUCAUUUUACAAAAAUGGGGUAUAAUGUGAAGUAGUUGAGUGAAGUGACAAACAGUUGUUAUUGGUCCUCCCCUGCUAGUUGCCUCUUCCCUCUGCUUUCCGACCUGAGAAACCAACCCCAUACCCUUCAUUUCAUCUUGUUCUUUAUCUGCAACCUGAAUAAUCUAGUGAAUAACAGACGCUUUGAAAUGUCAGGCCCUGAAGAACUUAUAUUCCAACAUAAUAUGAGGGUCAAUGCACUAAAAUUUGGUGCAGAAGUCGUGAUCCGUGUUAUAAACCAGAAGAAUAUACCAUAUAGUUGUGGUUGGAGUUUGAGAGAAUUAGGUAAAUGUUUUGCCAACGUGCAUUUGAUAAGUGAUAACUGAGCAUGUUGCAGCCACAACUCGUUAUACAAGUCAGAUUGAACAAGUCCACCUAAAAGUUUUCAGUCAACAAAUUAGCGAUCAUAUUCUGCCUCUUUUUAUGUUUCUCAGACAUUAUUGUUAUUAUUCCACACGACAAAAAGAAAAUCAACGAAGAUCGUGCUCAACUGUUACGUGGUAGUACCCUGCAAUUGAACAGCUGCUCCGACUAUUCAUUUUGUACGCAAAAAGAAUCUCAGGUUCACAAGUCUGCUUCUCGUCCGCUGCAUUUGUUUCUGUCAAGACUCAGCCCACUACGACGGGGUUUGAAACAGGGCCUUUACAUUUACCUUAUCAAUUCCAGUAGAGCCAUCAUGAGUCUCUCUAUCAUUAUAAAGUCCUCGUUUCCAGUUUGUCACAAGAGAAUUUGGGGAAAUGAACAUCUUUUUCUUGGUUCCUCAAAAAAAAAAAA